CCGGGUGUAGCUCAGAUGGUAGAGCGCUAGAUUUGGGAUCUAGAGGCCGUGAGUUCGAGACUCGCCACUCGGACCA
rnacentral:tRNA from 1 species